rnacentral:rRNA from 1 species
UACGUAGGUGGCAAGCGUUGUCCGGAUUUACUGGGCGUAAAGAGCGCGCAGGCGGUCGUUCAAGUCGCGUGUGAAAGCCCCCGGCUCAACUGGGGAGGGUCACGCGAUACUGAUCGACUCGAAGGCAGGAGAGGGUAGUGGAAUUCCCGGUGUAGUGGUGAAAUGCGUAGAUAUCGGGAGGAACACCUGAGGCGAAGGCGGGCUACUGGGCCGAUACUGACGCUGAUGCGCGAAAGCCAGGGGAGCGAACAGG